GAUGAACGCUGGCGGCGUGCUUAACACAUGCAAGUCGAACGGUGAAGGCGGAGCUUGCUCUUCGGUUUCAGUGGAGCACGGGUGUGUAACACGUGAGCACUCUGCCUCUGACUCUGGUAUAAGCGCUGGAAACGGCGUCUAAUACUGGAUACGAGCUGCGAACGCAUCUUCAGCAGCUGGAAAGAACUUCGGUCAGGGAUGAGCUCGCGGCCUAUCAGCUUGUUGGUGAGGUAACGGCUCACCAAGGCGUCGACGGGUAGCCGGCCUGAGAGGGUGACCGGCCACACUGGGACUGAGACACGGCCCAGACUCCUACGGGAGGCAGCAGUGGGGAAUAUUGCACAAUGGGCGAAAGCCUGAUGCAGCAACGCCGCGUGAGGGAUGACGGCCUUCGGGUUGUAAACCUCUUUUAGCAGGGAAGAAGCGAAAGUGACGGUACCUGCAGAAGAAGCGCCGGCUAACUACGUG
rnacentral:rRNA from 1 species